rnacentral:rRNA from 1 species
UACGUAGGGUGCAAGCGUUAAUCGGAAUUACUGGGCGUAAAGCGUGCGCAGGCGGUGAUGUAAGACAGGUGUGAAAUCCCCGGGCUUAACCUGGGAACUGCAUUUGUGACUGCAUCGCUGGAGUGCGGCAGAGGGGGAUGGAAUUCCGCGUGUAGCAGUGAAAUGCGUAGAUAUGCGGAGGAACACCGAUGGCGAAGGCAGCCCUCCG